rnacentral:rRNA from 1 species
CCUACGGUGUGCAGCAGUGAGGAAUAUUGGUCAAUGGACGAGAGUCUGAACCAGCCAAGUAGCGUGAAGGAUGACUGCCCUAUGGGUUGUAAACUUCUUUUAUAUGGGAAUAAAAUGUUCCACGUGUGGGAUUUUGUAUGUACCAUAUGAAUAAGGAUCGGCUAACUCCGUGCCAGCAGCCGCGGUAAUACGGAGGAUCCGAGCGUUAUCCGGAUUUAUUGGGUUUAAAGGGAGCGUAGGUGGAUUGUUAAGUCAGUUGUGAAAGUUUGCGGCUCAACCGUAAAAUUGCAGUUGAAACUGGCAGUCUUGAGUACAGUAGAGGUGGGCGGAAUUCCUAGUGUAGCGGUGAAAUGCGUAGAUAUUAGGAGGAACACCAGUUGCGAAGGCGGCUCUCUGGACUGUAACUGACACUGAGGCACGAAAGCGUGGGGAGCAAACAGGAUUAGAUACCCGAGUAGUC